rnacentral:rRNA from 1 species
GACGAACGCUGGCGGCGUGCCUAAUACAUGCAAGUAGAACGCAGUUGCGAACGGGUGGGUAACGCGUAGGUAACUGCCUCAUAGCGGGGGAUAACUAUUGGAAACGAUAGCUAAUACCGCAUACUGUGCGCUGGACCUGCGUUGUAUUAGCUAGUUGGUGCGGUAAAGGCUCACCAAGGCGACGAUACAUAGCCGACCUGAGAGGGUGAUCGGACACACUGGGACUGAGACACGGCCCAGACUCCUACGGGAGGCAGAAGUAGGGAAUCGUAGGCAAUGGAAGGAAGUCGGAGCGAGAAACGCCGCGUGAGUGAAGAAGGUUCUCGGAUCGUAAAGCUAUGUGGUUAGAGAAGCGGUAACUAAACAGAAAGCGACGGCUAAUUACGUGCCAGCAGCCGCGGUAAUUC